rnacentral:rRNA from 1 species
AACACGUGAGUAACCUGCCCUUGACUUUGGGAUAACUUCAGGAAACUGGGGCUAAUACCGGAUAGGAGCUCCUGCUGCAUGGUGGGGGUUGGAAAGUUUCGGCGGUUGGGGAUGGACUCGCGGCUUAUCAGCUUGUUGGUGGGGUAGUGGCUUACCAAGGCUUUGACGGGUAGCCGGCCUGAGAGGGUGACCGGCCACAUUGGGACUGAGAUACGGCCCAGACUCCUACGGGAGGCAGCAGUGGGGAAUAUUGCACAAUGGGCGGAAGCCUGAUGCAGCAACGCCGCGUGCGGGAUGACGGCCUUCGGGUUGUAAACCGCUUUCGCCUGUGACGAAGCGU